GCAGGAUGGACACACUCACGAGCAGCGCCCCAGCAAAUCCAAGGACGAGGCCGUAAAGCAGAGGCCACACUAUGUCAAAUAGUCGACGCUGAGAAGGUGGCACAGGCUGCCUCUUUACCACUAAAUCCACAUCUUCCCAGAGAUGAUGAAAGGAACAGAUGGCAGGCAGCGAAUCUGGUGUCAGCUCCAGCGAGCCUGCUGUCAGAUCAUUUGCACCUCCUCGUAUCCGAUGCCAUUCGACUGCAGAGCCGCCCGCAAACCGGACCGCAAUCGCUGCCAGGGGAGUGACAGGGUGCAAAACACGUCCCAUCACAAAUGUAUAAAAAUAACAUAAUGCUCUGCUGAACUACAUCUUUAGGAUGGCAGUGUAAGAUGGAUUGCUCUGAAUUAGCUUGAUGCUCCUUGCUUCAGUGGUGUGCAAAAACAACAGAAAAGAUGAUGAAAAGCUUCAUCGCUUUCAUCCAGGAAACUUUCUUUUAGUUUCUGACAAUUUUAUUUGUCGACUAAUGGAGAUGUUAUUUGAGAGUUGAUGUACUUUGGGAGGUGGUAUGUUGGUGUGGUUUU